AUUGAACGCUGGCGGAAUGCUUUACACAUGCAAGUCGAACGGCAGCACGGGGGCAGCCCUGGUGGCGAGUGGCGAACGGGUGAGUAAUACAUCGGAACGUGCCCGGUCGUGGGGGAUAACGUAGCGAAAGUUACGCUAAUACCGCAUACGAUCUGAGGAUGAAAGCGGGGGACCUUCGGGCCUCGCGCGAUCGGAGCGGCCGAUGUCAGAUUAGGUAGUUGGUGGGGUAAAGGCCUACCAAGCCGACGAUCUGUAGCUGGUCUGAGAGGACGACCAGCCACACUGGGACUGAGACACGGCCCAGACUCCUACGGGAGGCAGCAGUGGGGAAUUUUGGACAAUGGGCGCAAGCCUGAUCCAGCCAUUCCGCGUGCAGGACGAAGGCCUUCGGGUUGUAAACUGCUUUUGUACGGAACGAAAAGGCUCUGGCUAAUACCUGGGGCUCAUGACGGUACCGUAAGAAUAAGCACCGGCUAACUGCGUG
rnacentral:rRNA from 1 species